CAGAGAAUAGUUUAAUAAAAUAUUAAUUUUGGAGAUUAAAGUUAGGGAGUUAUCCUUUUCUCUGA
rnacentral:tRNA from 1 species